rnacentral:rRNA from 1 species
ACAUGCAAGUCGAGCGGACUUGCUGGAGCUUGCUCCAGCAGGUUAGCGGCGGACGGGUGAGUAACACGUGGGCAACCUGCCUGUAAGACUGGGAUAACUCCGGGAAACCGGAGCUAAUACCGGAUAGUAUCUUGAACCGCAUGGUUCAAGUUGGAAAGACGGUUUCGGCUGUCACUUACAGAUGGGCCCGCGGCGCAUUAGCUAGUUGGUGAGGUAAUGGCUCACCAAGGCAACGAUGCGUAGCCGACCUGAGAGGGUGAUCGGCCACACUGGGACUGAGACACGGCCCAGACUCCUACGGGAGGCAGCAGUAGGGAAUCUUCCGCAAUGGACGAAAGUCUGACGGAGCAACGCCGCGUGAGUGAUGAAGGUUUUCGGAUCGUAAAACUCUGUUGUUAGGGAAGAACAAGUGCGAGAGUAACUGCUCGCACCUUGACGGUACCUAACCAGAAAGCCACGGCUAACUACGUGCCAGCAGCCGCGGUAAUACGUAGGUGGCAAGCGUUGUCCGGAAUUAUUGGGCGUAAAGCGCGCGCAGGCGGUUUCUUAAGUCUGAUGUGAAAGCCCCCGGCUCAACCGGGGAGGGUCAUUGGAAACUGGGAAACUUGAGUGCAGAAGAGGAGAGUGGAAUUCCACGUGUAGCGGUGAAAUGCGUAGAGAUGUGGAGGAACACCAGUGGCGAAGGCGACUCUCUGGUCUGUAACUGACGCUGAGGCGCGAAAGCGUGGGGAGCGAACAGGAUUAGAUACC